rnacentral:rRNA from 1 species
CCUACGGGUGGCAGCAGUGGGGAAUAUUGGGCAAUGGACGCAAGUCUGACCCAGCAACGCCGCGUGGGUGAAGGAGCGUUUCGGCGCGUAAAGCCCUAUCGGCAGGGAAGAAGAUGACGGUACCUGACCAAGAAGCCCCGGCUAACUACGUGCCAGCAGCCGCGGUAAUACGUAGGGGGCAAGCGUUACCCGGAUUUACUGGGUGUAAAGGGGGCGCAGACGGCAAUGCAAGCCAGGAGGGAAAGCCCGGGGCCCAACCCCGGGACUGCUCUUGGAACUGCAUGGCUAGAGUAUAGGAGGGGCAGGCGGAAGUCCUGGUGUAGCGGUGAAAUGCGUAGAUAUUAGGAGGAACACCGAUGGCGAAGGCGGCCUGCUGGACUGUGACUGACGUUGAGGCCCGAAGGCGUGGGGAGCAAACAGGAUUAGAUACCCCUGUAGUC